UUGAGCUGUAUGCGGUGAAAGUCGCACGUACAGUUCUUAGAGGAAGUUAUUGUAGUAAUACAAAACUAAGCCUCAACAGACCCUAUGCAGCUUUACUGUAGUUAGUUAUCAUAUGAAUCUAGAACAAUCCUAGU
rfam:Leucoagaricus sp. SymC.cos contig33947, whole genome shotgun sequence.